UGAGUACGAGAUGCUACGGCAUCGAAGCAGUCUAUGUCAUACUUCCAAGAAAAGCUUGCACUGUCAUAAACAAAGAAUGCCUGUACCAUAACCGACACAGGUGGGUAGGUAGAGUAUACUAAGGGGCGCGAGAUAACUCUCUCUAAGGAACUCGGCAAAAUGACUCCGUAACUUCGGGAGAAGGAGUGCCUUAUUUCUAAGGUUGCAAUAACAAGAUCCAAGCAACUGUUUACCAAAAACACAGGUCUCCGCUAAGUCGUAAGACGAUGUAUGGGGGCUGACGCCUGCCCAGUGCCAGAAGGUUAAAGAAGUUGGUUAGCAUUAGCGAAGCUGAUAACUGAAGCCCUGGUGAACGGCGGCCGUAACAAUAACGGUCCUAAGGUAGCGAAAUUCCUUGUCGGGUAAGUUCCGACCCGCACGAAAGGCGUAAUGAUUUGGAUACUGUCUCGGAGAGGGGCUCGGUGAAAUAGACUUGUCUGUGAAGAUGCGGACUACCUGCACCUGGACAGAAAGACCCUAUGAAGCUUUACUGUAACUUGAGAUUGAAAUUGGACUUUAUUUGCGCAGUAUAGGUGGGAGGCGUUGAGAAUAAUCUUGCGGGAUUGUUGGAGCCAUCAGUGAGAUACCACUCUUGUAAUGUUAGAUUUCUAACUUUGUAUCAUUAUCUGGUCAAAGAACAGUUUCAGGCGGGCAGUUUGACUGGGGCGGUCGCCUCCCAAAGGGUAACGGAGGCGCACAAAGGUUUCCUCUGAACGGGUAGAAAUCGUAUCUAGAGUGUAAAGGCAUAAGGAAGCUUGACUGUGAGACCUACAAGUCGAGCAGGGACGAAAGUCGGUCUUAGCGAUCUGACGGUGCUGAGUGGAAAGGCCGUCACUCAACGGAUAAAAGUUACUCUAGGAUAACAGGUUGAUCUCCCCCAAGAGUUCACAUCGACGGGGAGGUUUGGCACCUCGAUGUCGGCUCAUCGCAUCCUGGGGCGGUAGUCCGUCCCAAGGGUUGGGCUGUUCGCCCAUGAAAGCGGUACGCGAGCUGGGUUCAGAACGUCGUGAGACAGUUCGGUCCAUAUCCGGUGUAGGCGUUAGAAUAUUGAGAGGAGCCUUCUCUAGUACGAGAGGACCGAGAAGGACAUACCUCUGGUGUACCAGUUAUCGUGCCAACGGUAAACGCUGGGUAGCUAUGUAUGGAGUGGAUAACCGCUGAAAGCAUCUAAGUGGGAAGCCCACCUCAAGAUAAG
rnacentral:rRNA from 1 species